AGUGAACGCUGGCGGCGGGCCUAAUACAUGCAAGUCGAGCGAACACACAGUGAGCGUUCUCCCCUGACGUUAGCGGCUGACGGGUGGGUAACACAUGCAUAACCUUCUUCUAAUACUUGGAUAACUUCGUGGAACCACUUCCACUACCACCGCAUAUAUUGAACCGCAUAAUUCAGUAGUGCUUGACGCUUUUCUUGUUACUUAUAGCUGGUGUCGCGUCGGAUUAGCUAGUUGGUAAGGUAACGGCUUACCAAGGCGACGAUGCGUAGCUGACCUGAGAGGGUGAUCGGCCACACUGGAACUGAGACACGGUCCAGACUCCUACGGGAGGCAGCAGUAGGGAAUAUUCGACAAUGGGCGAAAGCCUGACGGAGCCACGCCGCGUGAGUGAAGAAGGUCUUCGGGUCGUAAAACCCUGUUAUUAGGAAAGAAAAACAGCGGAAGAAUACACGGAUGUUUUGACGGUACCUAAAGAGAAAGCAACGGCUAACUUCGUG
rnacentral:rRNA from 1 species